CUUGUACUUAUAGGCCAACUGC
rnacentral:siRNA from 1 species